GAAAUGAAGAGUAGGAUUUGGGCACAUGCGUAGUGAGCAGACUCCUGGCCCGCUGGACAGCGGCCGCCUGGCUAUUGGACAUGCAUGGUUCGCGGACCGGCUGAGGCGCUGGAUCCCCCAAGAAGGAGACCGCCGGACCCAAACCCUUCGGAUUUACCAGGAUGGGGCCAGCAACCCACAGGGACAGGCAGCUAGGGCGUAUUGACACAGGACAUGGGCUAAGCCAACAGGAUGUCUGCACUCCGGAACAAAUGGUACAGAGAAAAAGCAUCGAGACAGGAGCAUCUGGUGUUCAGGGGCCGCUAGGGCCAAGUGCCAAGGGCAGAUGGCAGUGCCAACUGAGGCAUCUGGAUUCUAUGGCAAUGGCAGAAAUGUCUUCACCAGCCAGUUCCCCGGCAUGAUUUCAGCUGACCACUCUGGCUGCCUCCCCCACCUUUGAUUACUACUGUUUACUGAGCCUGGUUUUCCAGCCUUCCAAUGUGCAUUUUUGCUAUUUAAAUUACCCAGAGGUUGUUUCUGUUGCUUGCAAAUAAAAACCCUGACUCACAUAAGAUGGGGAACUCCCAGCAUGUUACAUUCAUAAUAAAAUUUUGAAAGUGUUUGGGUUACAAGUAUCAGAA